rnacentral:piRNA from 1 species
UUAGCCUUUUAUUAACUUGGGGAGCAAGGU